GAUGAACGCUGGCGGCGUGCUUAACACAUGCAAGUCGAACGAAGCAGUUUAUCACGAUCCCUUCGGGGUGACGAUUUACUGACUGAGUGGCGGACGGGUGAGUAACGCGUGGGUAACCUGCCUUGUACAGGGGGACAACAGUUGGAAACGACUGCUAAUACCGCAUAAGCGCACGGAAUCGCAUGAUUUUGUGUGAAAAGAUUUAUCGGUACAAGAUGGACCCGCGUCUGAUUAGCUAGUUGGUGAGGUAAUGGCCCACCAAGGCGACGAUCAGUAGCCGACCUGAGAGGGUGACCGGCCACAUUGGGACUGAGACACGGCCCAAACUCCUACGGGAGGCAGCAGUGGGGAAUAUUGCACAAUGGGCGCAAGCCUGAUGCAGCGACGCCGCGUGAGCGAAGAAGUAUUUCGGUAUGUAAAGCUCUAUCAGCAGGGAAGAUAAUGACGGUACCUGACUAAGAAGCACCGGCUAAAUACGUGC
rnacentral:rRNA from 1 species